rnacentral:rRNA from 1 species
CCUACGGGAGGCUGCAGUGGGGAAUAUUGGACAAUGGGGGCAACCCUGAUCCAGCCAUGCCGCGUGUGUGAAGAAGGCCCUCGGGUUGUAAAGCACUUGCAGUGAGGAAGAACGCCUGGUGGUUAAUACCCAUCAGGAAAGACAUCACUCACAGAAGAAGCACCGGCUAACUCCGUGCCAGCAGCCGCGGUAAUACGGAGGGUGCGAGCGUUAAUCGGAAUUACUGGGCGUAAAGCGCGCGUAGGUGGCUUGAUAAGCCGGUUGUGAAAGCCCCGGGCUCAACCUGGGAACGGCAUCCGGAACUGUCAAGCUAGAGUGCAGGAGAGGAAGGUAGAAUUCCCGGUGUAGCGGUGAAAUGCGUAGAGAUCGGGAGGAAUACCAGUGGCGAAGGCGGCCUUCUGGACUGACACUGACACUGAGGUGCGAAAGCGUGGGUAGCAAACAGGAUUAGAUACCCGAGUAGUC